rnacentral:rRNA from 1 species
AUUGAACGCUGGCGGCAUGCCUAACACAUGCAAGUCGAACGAGUGGCGGACGGGUGAAUAAUGUCUUGGAAACUGCCUGAUGGAGGGGGAAAACUACGGGAAACGGUAGCUAAUACCGCUAACCAUCCGUUGGGCCCAGGUGGGAUUAGCUAGUGGGUGGGGUAAAGGCUCACCUAGGCGACGAUCCCUAGCUGGUCUGAGAGGAUGACCAGCCACACGGGAACUGAGACACGGUCCAGACUCCUACGGGAGGCAGCAGGGGGGAAUAUUGCACAAUGGGCGAAAGCCUGAUGCAGCCAUGCCGCGUGUAUGAAGAAGGCCUUCGGGUUGUAAAAUACUUUCAGCGGGGAGGCGUUACCUGCAGAAGAAGCACCGGCUAACUCCGUGCCAGCAGCCGCGGUAAUAC